rnacentral:rRNA from 1 species
UACGUAGGGUGCGAGCGUUGUUCGGAAUUACUGGGCGUAAAGGGCGCGUAGGCGGUCUACUAAGUUGGAUGUGAAAACUCUGGGCUUAACCCAGAGCCUGCAUUCAAAACUGAUAGGCUAGAGUUCUGGAGGGGAUAGCGGAAUUCCUGGUGUAGCGGUGAAAUGCGUAGAGAUCGGGAGGAACACCAGAGGCGAAGGCGGCUAACUGGGCAUGUACUGACGCUGAGGCGCGAAGGCUAAGGGAGCAAACAGG